UACGAAGGGGGCUAGCGUUGUUCGGAAUUACUGGGCGUAAAGCGCACGUAGGCGGAUUGUUAAGUCAGAGGUGAAAUCCCGGAGCUCAACUUCGGAACUGCCUUUGAUACUGGCAAUCUAGAGUCCGGAAGAGGUUAGUGGAAUUCCCAGUGUAGAGGUGAAAUUCGUAGAUAUUCGCAAGAACACCAGUGGCGAAGGCGGCUCACUGGCCCGGUACUGACGCUGAGACGCGAAGGCCAGGGGAGCAAAC
rnacentral:rRNA from 1 species